GCCAGCAGCCAUGUCACCCUGCAACUCACAACUGGCAACCCACUGAAGCUAAGCAGGUGUGAGCCUGGUCAGUACCUGGAUGGGAGACCUCCUGGGAAAAACUAAGGUUGCUGCUGGAA
ensembl:rRNA 5S_rRNA 5S ribosomal RNA